CUACACUUAACUCAAUUUUGUUAGCAAGAAAUUCAUGUGCUCGAUUGGUUCUUUUAAGUUACAACAUUGUCUCGCUCUAAGCGUGGUCAAAGAAACAGUAAGUCCGAAAGUCAAUGUGAACCGUGGUAACAUAUAACAAUGUCGAACG